CCUACGGGAGGCAGCAGUAGGGAAUCUUUCACAAUGGGCGAAAGCCUGAUGGAGCAACGCCGCGUGCAGGAUGAAGGCCUUCGGGUUGUAAACUGCUUUUAUAAGCGAGAAAUAUGAUGGUAACUUAUGAAUAAGGAUCGGCUAACUACGUGCCAGCAGCCGCGGUCAUACGUAGGAGCCGAGCAUUAUCCGGAGUGACUGGGUGUAAAGAGUUGCGUAGGUGGCAUAAUAAGUAGCUAGUGAAAUCGGGUGGCUCAACCAUUCAGACUAUUAGCUAAACUGUUAAGCUCGAGACCGUUAGGGGUAGCUGGAAUUUCUAGUGUAGGGGUGAAAUCCGUAGAUAUUAGAAGGAACACCAAUGGCGUAGGCAGGUUACUGGGCCGGUUCUGACACUAAGGCACGAAAGCGUAGGGAGCAAACGGGAUUAGAUACCCUAGUAGUC
rnacentral:rRNA from 1 species